rnacentral:rRNA from 1 species
AGUGAACGCUGGCGGUAGGCCUAACACAUGCAAGUCGAACGGCAGCACAGUAAGAGCUUGCUCUUACGGGUGGCGAGUGGCGGACGGGUGAGGAAUACAUCGGAAUCUACUUUUUCGUGGGGGAUAACGUAGGGAAACUUACGCUAAUACCGCAUACGACCUACUGGUGAAAGCAGGGGAUCUUCGGACCUUGCGCGAUUGUAUGAGCCGAUGUCGGAUUAGCUAGUUGGCGGGGUAAAGGCCCACCAAGGCGACGAUCCGUAGCUGGUCUGAGAGGAUGAUCAGCCACACUGGAACUGGGACACGGUCCAGACUCCUACGGGAGGCAGCAGUGGGGAAUAUUGGACAAUGGGCGCAAGCCUGAUCCAGCCAUACCGCGUGGGUGAAGAAGGCCUUCGGGUUGUAAAGCCCUUUUGUUGGGAAAGAAAAGCAGCAGGUUAAUACCCCGCUGUUCUGACGGUACCCAAAGAAUAAGCACCGGCUAACUUCGUG